GACGAACGCUGGCGGCGUGCUUAACACAUGCAAGUCGAGCGGUAAGGCCCUUUCGGGGGUACACGAGCGGCGAACGGGUGAGUAACACGUGGGUGACCUGCCCUUAGCUCUGGGAUAAGCCUGGGAAACUGGGUCUAAUACCGGAUAUGACCUCAUGACUCAUGUUGUGGGGUGGAAAGCCUUGUGCGGCUAGGGAUGGGCCCGCGGUCUAUCAGCUUGUUGGUGGGGUAAUUGCCUACCAAGGCGACGACGGGUAGCCGGCCUGAGAGGGCGACCGGCCACACUGGGACUGAGACACGGCCCAGACUCCUACGGGAGGGCAGCAGUGGGGAAUCUUGCGCAAUGGGCGAAGGCCUGACGCAGCGACGCCGCGUGAGGGAUGACGGCCU
rnacentral:rRNA from 1 species